rnacentral:rRNA from 1 species
UGGGGAAUAUUGCACAAUGGGCGCAAGCCUGAUGCAGCCAUGCCGCGUGUGUGAAGAAGGCCUUCGGGUUGUAAAGCACUUUCAGCGGGGAGGAAGGCGUUAAGGUUAAUAACCUUGUCGAUUGACGUUACCCGCAGAAGAAGCACCGGCUAACUCCGUGCCAGCAGCCGCGGUAAUACGGAGGGUGCAAGCGUUAAUCGGAAUUACUGGGCGUAAAGCGCACGCAGGCGGUCUGUCAAGUCGGAUGUGAAAUCCCCGGGCUCAACCUGGGAACUGCAUUCGGAACUGGCAGGCUAGAGUCUUGUAGAGGGGGGUAGAAUUCCAGGUGUAGCGGUGAAAUGCGUAGAGAUCUGGAGGAAUACCGGUGGCGAAGGCGGCCCCCUGGACAAAGACUGACGCUCAGGUGCGAAAGCGUGGGGAGCAAACAGG